UUUGUUGCAUGGAUCCACCCGGGAACCGGACCGGCGGUCCGGUCCUGUUCCCCGGUGGAUCCAUGAAACCGA
rnacentral:pre_miRNA from 1 species